UUAUCGGAAUGAGAACAAUUCAAAUCCUUUAACGAGGAUCUAGCGGAGGGCAAGUCUGGUGCCAGCAGCCGCGGUAAUUCCAGCUCCGCAGGUGUAUAUCUAUGCUGCUGCGGUUAAAAAGCUCGUAGUUGGAUCUGCGUGCUCGGAACUGGUUGGCUCACUGAGUUCAAACUGGUCUCCGGCGCUUUAUUGGCUGGUUUUCCCUUGAUGCUCUUAACCGGGUGUCUUGGGUGGCUAGCACGUUUACUUUGAAAAAAUUAGAGUGCUCAAUACAGGCGUAAAGCCUUGAAUAGUGGUGCAUGGAAUAAUAGAAUAGGACCUCGGCUCUAUUUUGUUGGUUUUCGGAACGCGAGGUAAUGAUUAAGAGGGACAGACGGGGGCAUUCGUAUUGCGACGUUAGAGGUGAAAUUCUUGGAUCGUCGCAAGACGGACGACUGCGAAAGCAUUUGCCAAGAAUGUUUUCAUUAAUCAAGAACGAAAGUUAGAGGUUCGAAGGCGAUCAGAUACCGCCCUAGUUCUAACCGUAAACGAUGCCAACUAGCGAUUCGCAGGCGUUAAACAACGACCUUGCGGGCAGCUUCCCGGAAACGAAAGUGUUCGGGUUCCGGGGGAAGUAUGGUUGCAAAGCUGAAACUUAAAGGAAUUGACGGAAGGGCACCACCAGGAGUGGAGCCUGCGGCUUAAUUUGACACAACACGGGAAAACUCACCCGGCCCGGACACCGUAAGGAUUGACAGAUUGAGAGCUCUUUCUUGAUUCGGUGGGUGGUGGUGCAUGGCCGUUCUUAGUUGGUGGAGCGAUUUGUCUGGUUUAUUCCGAUAACGAACGAGACUCUAGCCUACUAAAUAGUGGGCGGAUUCUUUCUGUCCGCAACACUUCUUAGAGGGACAAGCGGUGUUCAGCCGCACGAGAUUGAGCAAUAACAGGUCUGUGAUGCCCUUAGAUGUCCGGGGCUGCACGCGCGCUACACUGAAGGAAUCAGCGUGCUUUCUGACCUUGCCCGAAAGGGCUGGGUAACCCGAUGAAAAUCCUUCGUGAUUGGGAUAGGGACUUGCAAUUAUCUCCCUUGAACGAGGAAUUCCCAGUAAGUGUGGGUCAUAAGCUCGCGUUGAUUACGUCCCUGCCCUUUGUACACACCGCCCGUCGCUGCCCGGAACUGAGCCGUUUCGAGAAGAACAGGGACCGUCGUUGAAGGGCCUUAACGGGCUUUUUUCUGAUAGAAACUGUUUUAAUCGCAGUGGCUUGAACCGGGCAA
rnacentral:rRNA from 1 species